rnacentral:misc_RNA from 1 species
CCGUUACUUCCAGCAUCUUCAUUCUAUUGGUUAUUACUGCCGGCGGCAACCGCACGCCACCGUUGCUUCUCUUCUCCGUCACUCUGUUAAUCUCUCACCGGUUGCCAGACAUCAACCAUCAAGUCUAGCACCAAAAAGCCGGUUAACCGCUUAGUCAGUAAAAUUGGCUCACUAGUUUGGAUCGGCUCAAUUUUUCUUCAUUCAACUUGUAAAGUGCUUUGGCAUGGUGCAUUUCGCCAAUCAUGAUGCUCUACGAUGGGUUUAAAGAAAUACUAAAGAUUCAGAAGUUUCGCAGAAUCGUAUCUUACACUGG